AACCACUUUUUUCUGCAACUGACUUUACUGUGCCGUAUUAGGAACGUUGGCCGACUGGCCUGCGAUUGUCGAACCAGUGAGUCCAACUCGAUUUAUGUUCGUCAGAUCCGCCUCUAAACAUCGAUCCAAUCUCUACGGCUUUAGUGGCACUGUUCUGCGCCGUCCCCCCUUGCCCUCCCACCACCUGGUAUUGCGUCACUCGACGCUGUUGUUUCUGAAUAGAAGGUACUAGUCGUUGUAGUUGAAUGCUUUUUUCUUCCGCUUCAAGUUCAAUGACUACUGCUACUUACCGAAUUCUACCUGUAAUCCUUUUCUCUUCGGUUUGAGCGUUCAGCGUUAGCGACAAGUGGCGCCCAACGAAUAUCGAGCUGCAGUCCAUUCACUUGCCUGGUCGAUCAUUAUUCGGCGACGUCGUUGCUUGUUCCUUGUUUGUCGCUCCGAAAACCACCGAUAGUGGCACUAGUAACCACAACAGCAGAAGCAGCGGCCACUCCAGUCAAACUACUCACUAUAGGAGGCUUCCAUAGACGACCUCCUCUCCCGCCGAUAUCGACGUGUGGAACCCACAACGGUGGUGACGGCGGACGUCGCAUCGGCGCUCCAACUGCUCCAAAAUCACCGUCGCUUCUGCCGCCAUCAAGCGUCGUCCCCAACGUCAGACGCAACGAAGACAAGCAGAACAACAGGAGUCAAAGCAGAAACGGUUACCACAACAAUAAUAAUAACGACGACACUGACGCGAACGCGAACAGCGGUAACAAACGCAGCGAAGGUGUCCACAUCAGAAGCAUUCUCCUGACGACCAUUUCUUCGACUCGGAUUGGUGACGUUGAAUCGCGAUCCAAACUUCUUGGUUUAAGUGGUAUUUGUCGUGGUGGUAAAAAUAGUAGUGAAUGCAGCGGUGCUCGGCAAAAUCUAGUAUUCUGAACGAUCUCGAGAUCGAACCCACCAGCUUUGCUUACAGUCGACGGUAGCAGAACUCAAUCAGGGAGCGAGUCGAUCAGUUCUGAUAAAUUCGAAACGAUGGACAGAGUUUCCGUAUCCUCCGUGAGGCCGCCGGAUCGCUACCCGCGACCAACUUGCCUUUUGGUUGCGUCGGGGUGGAUGGCGUUUAUAUCAUCAUUGGUAUUACUUGUUGCAUACGCCGCACCUUACUGGCUUGAGUCGUACUGGGAAACGCGGUCCGAGACCCAGUUCAUACGACUGGGCUUGUGGGAGGUAUGCUUCAAUCGGUACAUGCAUCCACCGUAUCAGUAUGAUGAAGUGUUUGAUGGUUGUCACUGGAUACAUGGUUACUAUUACCAAAACAUCAGAGAUUGGCUCAUGCCAGGCUGGUUUAUGUUUACGCAAGCGAUGCUGACACUUGGUCUCAUGUUUGAAUUGACAGCGUUAAUCGUUCUAAGUAUACUUCUAAUGAGAUACCUUUUGCGAUACGAGAUCGUCAUCCUGACAGCGGCCUUCGUCCUCGAGGCACUCACCGCCCUGUUGCUGUUUCUCGGUGUUUCAGUCUUCGGGGGUAUGGCCUUUAGCAGAUAUUGGCUGCUGUAUCCGAACUUUAAUCAUCUGGGCUGGGGCUACGCAUUUGCCGUAAUCGCCAUGUUUUUCCAUGCAUUCACGGCGUGUAUGCUACUAAAGGAAGCGUUCAACUCAAAAGAACGUCGGAGAAGGGACAACAAUCUCGUAUACAAUAUGCAGCCCCGUGGGGAGCCUAUGAGGUAAUCAACUAUUUUUUUGUUGAUAAGUUCAUUCACCAAGAGAUUUACGAUCAGAGACUACUCAGUACAAAGUUGAUUCGUCGUCCUGCGAUUGGGAUGGACGUAGGCAAGGCGGUGCAUUCGGUAGCUGGCUCUAAGGUAUUAAGCCAAGAAACAACUACGAAACAGGAGACAAGAAGCUUACUACGGCCUUUAACUGUCGUCAAUGGAAACACAACAUAAGGUGCACACACGUGCACAAGAAUAAGCGGCGAAUCCAUAUUUUGCCGGUACAAAAUUACAAACAGCCCCGGCCAAGGCUAAGGAACAAACAUGAAAAUAAUUUUCCCAGCCAACUUUCAGGACUAUUGUCCUUUUUUCAAUUGACAAUUUAACACAACGACGUUGCCGACUUUUAUAUGUGAAGUAUUUUAUAAUCACAUUAUAGUACACAUUUUUUUAAAAAUGACCAUUUAACAUGAAAGCUGUUGACGACUGAGUAAAUACUCUAGUAGUACAAUACAAGUUUACCUUGGUAGCAGCGAGACGCCUUUAAAAAAGACAAGAUCACUUCUCUUAUUUAUAAGGUCUACCGAAAACAAAUAGCAAACCGGUUACGUAGAGUGGGUCAGUGAUUAAGACAAUCCAGAAUUUUACACUAGUUGGAAAUAUUGAAAUGUCUUCCGCCAAAUGCGUAUUACCGAUACUUAAAAGUAGGGUCGAAUUAGACAAUAAGUCAUCCUAAGCGGCUAUCUCCAUUGCAACAAAAAACAAUAACAACCAAAAUUUACCACGACGUAAAUAUAUACAUCAAUAUUGCUAAAACUAGCCGUGUGUGAUUGUUUCGCCCGUCCUCACAGCACUGUAGUACAUGAAAGCUCUCAUGUGACCGGGACCCUUCGACGAGGCCAUGGCAUACUAGCCGUGGUAAGCAUGGCUAUCAAUUAUCUUGAAAACGGGCAUGGAAAAACAUGAGCGCCCACCUUGUAUUAUGCAGACCCAAGUAAGCCCGCUUUCAAGAACCCUUGCUGAUGCAAACGUCUCUUAGGCAUGCCUCGUUUUACAUCAUAGAAAUCAGCCCGUAAAUCAUAGUGAUGACAUAAACCAGCUCUACUAGUGGUAAUUCAUUAUUUUUGGCAUAACCGUAUUAUGUACGUUUAUUUAUAUAUUAUGUCAACUAGUCUUAUAGCAGCAACCCGAGAAUAUGGUGUCGAAUACCCCUUCCUUCUUUUACCUAUAGGAUUUAAUUAAAAUUAGGUGAGUAAUACUAGUUCGAGUUUUCUUACCCGUGGAAUUUCGUAUCCUAUUGACCAUUAUGUGCCUCUGAAAUCUUCGAACAAAAUGUGUGCGACCCGAUAGCACUUACUCAACGAUACAGUGCCGUGUUGUGUACAACUGAAGCUGAAAUGACGAGGCACCGUCCGAAGCGCGAAGAUAUGAGGGGUGCGACCUCUAACAAUAUGCAUUUAUUGUGUUGUAUGAGUGAAUAACAUAACCGGAUUAAUCCCGUCGUUGCCACGCUGAGCUGAAGAAAACGUGUUCACAGAAAAUACAAUAUUCUCUCAUCUAACACGCUGGCAGGCCGUAAACGUUUUGGGGAACGUCGCAGCAUGGAUAGAUGUAUCUAUUUCUAUCGCACUUUAGUUUUUGGUUUAGUAUUAAAUAUACAUCUAAGCAGACAGUCGUGAUAAGUGAAAAUGGCAUAGUAAUAUAGAGUUUAUAUUCCACAGUGGUAAAACAAUGACUACAAUUUUCAAUCUUACAUUGUACUACGGCCGCAAACAAUUACAUCUAUACUUUUUACACUGGAACAGGGGGGGGGGUAACGAUUGAAAAAGAAAGUGAUACGAGGUGUCCUCUAAGGGAUGGUGGCCUGUAUCCGUUUGGAAAUAGACGCACGAACGAACGACGAACGCGAAGAAUAACAUAAUACACUUUGAGGCUCAUUUUGAAGAAUUAAAGCAAAAAGGGGUGUGGUUUUAUAUAUGUUCUCAUAAUAGCGUUUUAUAUGGAAAAAUGAUUAUUUUUCUUUUUUAUUCAAUAUUUAUCAACUUUAUAAGAAGAAACUAUUAAUGUAUUCUUAUACAUCGUUCGCAUACAAAGCAGCUAUAUAUUUAUAUAUAUACACACAGUGGCAAGAAAUGGAAAAAUCGGCCGAUUUGAUGCAAAUGGCGAGGAUGACUGCAAAUAUACGAGCAUCUAUUUCAUAAGUAGAUGAAAUGUUGAUUGAUCAUUACUGGAAACCUCUACUUAAAAUAUUGCAGGAAGAAAUCUAUAAGAUGCGCACUUCCUGCAUAACGUCAUGUAAACAAGAAAUUCGUCUUUUUGCAGUCGAUACGAGUAUUUUGAGCUAGAUUAGGAUAUCAGAUAAACCAUGAAGGCCAAGAAUGGUGCAUUGAUAAAAAAAAAAAAAAAAACAAAAAAAUGCGUCAGAAAGACUGAACCAGUAGUAGUUGCGCACAGCCUUGAUACUGCAGAGGGAAAAAAUAUUAAAAAGGAUAUGCAUUGUACACUUGACGAAUCUAUUCUAGACCUGUGAACGAGGAAAUUUAGAAUAAAAAACAACGAGAAUCGAA